rnacentral:rRNA from 1 species
UAGGGAAUCUUCCACAAUGGACGCAAGUCUGAUGGAGCAACGCCGCGUGAGUGAAGAAGGUUUUCGGAUCGUAAAGCUCUGUUGUUGGUGAAGAAGGAUAGAGGUAGUAACUGGCCUUUAUUUGACGGUGAUCAACCAGAAAGUCACGGCUAACUACGUGCCAGCAGCCGCGGUAAUACGUAGGUGGCAAGCGUUGUCCGGAUUUAUUGGGCGUAAAGCGAGCGCAGGCGGAAGAAUAAGUCUGAUGUGAAAGCCCUCGGCUUAACCGAGGAACUGCCUCGGAAACUGUUUUUCUUGAGUGCAGAAGAGGAGAGUGGAAUUCCAUGUGUAGCGGUGGAAUGCGUAGAUAUAUGGAAGAACACCAGUGGCGAAGGCGACUCUCUGGUCUGCAACUGACGCUGAGGCUCGAAAGCAUGGGUAGCGAACAGG